UCCCCUGUUUUUUCCAAAGCACCGUACUCAUCUUCCCACACAACCGGUUCCAAGGAGGCUUCUUCUCAAGGCAUUUCAAGCUCCAGUCUUCUCCCCAGGUGGCUCUUCCCAUAGUCAGCCACGUCUUCAUUGAAAUCCCAUCACAAGAUGUGCAACCGGCUUCUUCCCAAGGUAUUCUUCCCACAGGUGGUUCUUCCCAACACUUCAAAGCAUUGAUUCCUCCCCACAGCCGGCUCUUCCCAGCCACUUCUUCUUUGAAAUCCCAAUCGAAGAAGCCAGCAGCCGUUUCCUCCUUUCCAAGGCAUCCACCGGUUCUCCAUCAGCAAGUUCUCCACUUCCUCAAAGUCUCCAUCGUGGCUCACCUCCUCCCGAAGCAGCAAACCAGCUGAAGGAAGUUUCCUGAUCUUCUUCCUUUCCGAUGCCAUCCUGCGAUCUCUUGGAAACUGCCCACAGGUCCACCUCUUUCCAAAGAUUUCCAAGGUUCCAACAUCAAAGAACUCCCAAGCAAGCUGAUUCCAAGGACUACUCUUCCCCUUUCCGAGGCACUUCCAGCAAGUCACCCAUCCCCACUAAGUUCUCCCAUGCAACGCUGCCAACUGUGCUUUGAAAACCAAAGAGUAAUCUAGGAAUUGAAUCCCGAAUGAAUGAUGUAAAAAUCAAGAAUGAGUCCUUGUAAUGCCUAUAAAAAGGGCUUGAUAUUAUGAAUGAAGCACAGAAACUGUUUGACAA
rnacentral:lncRNA from 1 species